rnacentral:misc_RNA from 1 species
UUUCCGUAGGUGAACCUGCGGAAGGAUCAUUAAAGUUAUAGUCCCCUGGCCCUCUGGGCUGGGGUCUUCUAUACCACCCUUUGUUUAUUACACCUUUGUUGCUUUGGCAGGCCUGCCCUCGGGCUGCUGGCUCUGGCCGGCGAGCGCCUGCCAGAGGACCUAAACUCUGUUUGUCUAUAAUGUCUGAGUACUAUAUAAUAGUUAAAACUUUCAACAACGGAUCUCUUGGUUCUG